GGAAAAAGUGAAGCUGCCAGCAUGAUCUAGCUUURGCUAAAGAUAUGUACAAUCACACAUAUAUAUGUGRUUAUCAGUUCUAUUAACUCUAGCUAGGUCAUGCUCUGACAGCCUCACUCCUUCC
rnacentral:pre_miRNA from 1 species